UAUUACCACACUGUCAAGCUAUCGCUAUUGGUUGUUGACAAGCCAGCUCGGAAAUCGGAAGCGGUCGGAGGCACGCUCACACUAUCCGUAUACCAUCUUGGCAUAAUGGCUUGUAUAUUUUGAGUAUGGCAUGUAUAGCAUUAUAAUCAUUUUAUAUGUAUGGUCUUAUGAUAUGGUUAUUGAGUGGUAUGGAAAUAGAAAUGCUUGGUAAUGAUUAGCCAUUGGAAUGGCUAAUCAUGAUCAUAUUUGGUAUUAUGUAUGUCAAA